AGCUGGGAGGAGGUGCUCUUAUUCUCCAUGGACUUUACAGUGUUUCCUAGCCUCAGUGCAGUGGGCAGCUGGGAGGAGGUGCUCUUAUUCUCCAUGGACUUUACAGUGUUUCCUAGCCUCAGUGCAGUGGGCAGCUGGGAGGAGGUGCUCUUAUUCUCCAUGGACUUUACAGUGUUUCCUAGCCUCAGUGCAGUGGGCAGCUGGGAGGAGGUGCUCUUAUUCUCCAUGGACUUUACAGUGUUUCCUAGCCUCAGUGCAGUGGGCAGCUGGGAGGAGGUGCUCUUAUUCUCCAUGGACUUUACAGUGUUUCCUAGCCUCAGUGCAGUGGGCAGCUGGGAGGAGGUGCUCUUAUUCUCCAUGGACUUUACAGUGUUUCCUAGCCUCAGUGCAGUGGACAGCUGGGAGGAGGUGCUCUUAUUCUCCAUGGACUUUACAGUGUUUCCUAGCCUCAGUGCAGUGGGCAGCUGGGAGGAGGUGCUCUUAUUCUCCAUGGACUUUACAGUGUUUCCUAGC